GUUACUCCAUAUUAAUCCUCACCACUUCUAUCUGGCAGGGAAAUUAAAUCAUCCGAUCCUGGAUCUGUAAUCAAGAAGGCAUACAAGAAAGCAGCCUUAAAGCAUCACCCCGACAAGGUCGUUCAGCUUUUGGCAAGAAGUGUGAGGUUGAAUGAUGGGCGAUUGCAGAAGGAUAUCUCCGAGAAAGUUAAGAAGGACGCUGACAGUCUUUUCAAAAUGAUAGGAGAAGCAUAUGAUGUUCUCUCUAACACUGCCAAGCGCAAAGAGUACAAUUAUGAAGAAGAAAUCAGGCAGUCCCAGACAGGGGAGGAGUUUGCAUAGGAUGAGUGAACUGAUAUAAGCCUUACUUUUAGAGAAAUGUCUUUGGCUUUUUCUUGAUAGAUAUUUGGUUGUUUUUGCAAGGGGUGUUUGCUUCAUUGCUUGUACAUAACACUACUUUUGGUCAUAUAUAUAUAUAUGUUCAAAGUGAUGAAAGACAA